UGGAGGAUGCAGCAGAAUUUCAUUUUCCCUUUGUGCUCUGCAGCCUCAGGAAACUCAGGAAUAUUUCAUGGAGCUGAAGAUGCCAGAUGCCAUCAAAGCUGUUUCAGGGCUGCAGGAAUAUUUCUAUUUCAGUGCCAGAUGUGAUGAUAUCUCUGUUCUCAUCAGUAUACACCAACAGGAACAGCUGCACUUAGGCUGGCCCUCAAUCCCAG